rnacentral:misc_RNA from 1 species
UGUAGAAUAACAAAUAUUCAUUAAAGAAUUACAACACAAGAUCCAAUCUGAAGAUUAAGGACCCGUUUGGCGCUGCAGUCUAAGAGCAAAAAAGCUAGUUUCAUCCAAAAAGCAGAUUAAAAUCUGUUUGGAUAAUUUUGGAACCCGACCUUUCGGAGUUCAAAACCCCAGUUUUAAAAAAGCAGCAAUAAUCACAAACGCUGAGGUGAUGAAACUUUUUGCAAAUUUUGAAUUGUUAUGUUCUCGGUUUUUGUGCAAAAAUUACUCUAAAUUAUUAUUUUAAAAGUAAAUUACUUUUUAA